UACGGAGGGUGCGAGCGGUACCCGGAUUUACUGGGCGUAAAGGGCGUGUAGGCGGUUUUCUAAGUCCGGGGCUAAAGACCCGGGCUCAACCCUGGGUUUGCCUUGGAUACUGGAAAGCUCGACGGCUGGAGGGGGCAGCGGAAUUUCCGGAGUAGCGGUGAAAUGCGCAGAUACCGGAAGGAACGCCAAUAGCGAAGGCAGCUGCCUGGACAGCACGUGACGCUGAGGCGCGAAAGCGUGGGGAGCAAACCGG
rnacentral:rRNA from 1 species